rnacentral:lncRNA from 1 species
GAAUCUCAGGGGUUUUAGAAACACACAAAGAAUAUAAAAUAUUCAAGAAAACACUCCAGAAUCAAAGGGCAUGAGUUUCAGAUUGAAAGGGCCACCAAGGGACCAACACAAUAGGUAUAUCACUGUGAAACUUCUUAACACUGGGGACAAAGGAAUCCUACAAGGUCACACACAAAGAAGGCUCUGGCCUUAACAGCAGCCCUGGAAGCUUGAAGACAAUGGAGCCACGCUAUCAAAGUUCUGAGACAAAGUGACUUCUUAUCUAGAAUUCCACACUUCAUCAAUCAAGGGUUGGACAUUUUCAGACAUGCAAGCUUUCAAAAUAUUUCCCUCUCAUGAACUCUCGGGAAGCUCCUGGAGAAUGUAUGUCAUCAAAAACAGGGAAGAAAGCAAGAAAUGAGAAGACACAGGAAAGAGUGGAAACUAGAGAGUUUCUGCUUCAAGAUGUUGAAACGGAGACUCCAAGAGGAUGGUUUCUGAGCGUGAGUCCUAGCGUCAGCUACCAUCAGCAGCAGCAGCACAGCACGGAGCCAGAUCUCGGGCGCAGACACUCAUGGAGAGGCCACAGUUUAAUCAGCAAGCUGAGGCAAACCGUGUUUCAGGAGAAUUCACAAUAUAAGGUCCAGCUCAAAUGUCACCAGCUUAAUGAAUGUGUCCUCGAUUCCAUCAGAAUUAAUUCCUUCAACAGCAUCUACUGAGUGCCAAAGCUCACGUGGAUACAAAAUUAGAUCAGACCCAGUUCCUGCCCAGAGCCCAGAAAUAAUUACACAAUAGUGUUUGAUAAAUGCUCGAAUAGAGGUCUCCACGAGCGGUUAGUACACUGUAACUUUUCCUAGGGCAACUGGAGAAGGCUUUACAGAGGAGGUGACAUUUGCACUGUGUCUACGAGGAGGAGGAAGAGGAGUUCACAAAACACUCCAGGCAGGGAGACAUCGAACGAGAGGGUACAAAGGAUGCUACGUUAUUAGUUUUAGAAAGACAACCAAGGAUAGACAUUGAAGGCAGAGAGAGAAGUCAGAAGACUGGCAACAAGUGAAGCAAAAGAUGACACGAGUGCAGGCCUGAGUGGGAGCAGGAAGGGUUUUAACAAAGUUCAGGAGAUGAAUUUAGCAGAUCUUGAUGCACGAUUGUUCGGGGAUAGAAAGAACACGCAGGAGCUGGGCACGACCCCCAAAGCCCUGGCGAACGCGUGGGCAGCGAGGCCACCAACUCGAACAGGAGCCACCAGGCAGCAGGCGCGAGCAGGCCUGAGGAGGGGCUCAAGCUCCCUCGGAGACCUCUCGUGGAAGAGGCGUCACACGAGGUGCUGCUUUCCUUUCAGCGGCCAGAAAUCGCCCCUCUGAGCGCCGCAGCACGUUGGAUUCUUUUCACGUCAAAUUAUUUAAAUCUGCUGUGCUGACAAGUCUGUCCCCGCCUGAAGUCCUGGAGGAGACGCACUAGCUCUCGCUGGUCUCCUCCUGCCCUCGGCUCAGAGCCUGGACACAAAAGCCCUCAAACCCCGCCUUUCUCGAAGACGGCGCUCCAGCCCACGCUGCCACCGUCGGUUAACAUUCACCCAGCAAGGCCCAAAGCGCGAGGCGGCGGCUUGCACAAAGCAUUUCGAGCAUUCGGCCGGCAGCACCUGCGUCCGGCUCCCUCCGCGCUGAUCUUAUCUCAUGUCACCGGAGGCAGCAGGAGUCCUGUUUCACAGACGCCGCCGCAGAAGCCCAAAGCAUCUGCACCCCUCUCCCGGGGCCGCGAGG